AAGAAGUUAGAAACCUGCAGCCGAGGGAAGUUUUCCCUUAAAAAACGACUCAAAAUGUGGCCUGGCAGGCCCUGGCCACGCUGUUCUGCAGAUGAAAAGGCAGUUAGGACCGUUUACUUUGUGUUCAACAGAAAAUCACAGUCGACUUGAACGACACGGAGGCGCGCCGAGGAAUGAUGGGUACUUCUUACCAAAUUUCAAGAGAUACAUCCUCUCCAAGGCCAAGUAAAAAGGUA